GCCAGCAACAAGUUAUAGUCAUACAGUCAUAAGUGGAAAGAGAUUGGUGAUGGGAACUAUGAAACGAUUAAUAGUAGUGCAGAUUCAGUAAAUAGUCUGACAGUGUUGAGGGAAUUAUUUGUUUAGCAGAGUGAUGGCCUUCGGGAAAAAACUGUUCUUGUGUCUAGUUGUUCUGGUGUGCAGUGCUCUAUAGCGUCGUUUUGAGGGUAGGAGUUGAAACAGUUUAUGUCCAGGAUGCGAGGGAUCUGCAAAUAUUUUCACGGCCCUCUUCUUGAUUUGUGCAGUAUACAGGUCCUCAAUGGAAGGCAAGUUGGUAGCAAUUAUUUUUUCUGCAGUUCUAAUUAUCCUCUGAAGUCUGUGUUUUUCUUGUUGGGUUGCAGAACCGAACCAGACAGUUAUAGAGGUGCAAAUGACAGACUCAAUAAUUCCUCUGUAGAAUUGGAUCAGCAGCUCCUUGGGCAGUUUGAGCUUACUGAGUUGGCGCAGAAAGAACAUUGUUCUUUCAUUCGAAGAAGCAGUGCAAGAUCAGAAGAUGUGGAAAGACUUGGCCCAUAGAAUUGCCAAGAGUCAGCACAACUGAAUGGAUAUCACCAUCACCAUCACCAUCACCAUCACCAUCACCAUCACCAUCACCAUCAUCACCAUCACCAUCACCAUCACCAUCACCAUCAUCAUCAUCAUCAUAUCAUCAUCAUAGGUUCUUUCACUAAUACAACAGAUUCUCUUUACUGAACAUAACAGAAAGGCGUAAAAGUUGACAGCAAUAUUUGAUUAAAAUAAACUUUGCAUUUGUUUUUCACAUAUUUGAAAAGAUAGGAGUAGGUUUGCCCUCUGAAUGAACAUAUUACUAUCCAAAUACUAGCAAAAGAAGUGUGAUCGAAAAAUUAAAAUGCAAACUUUAUAACAUUCUUCAGUAUUCUUACUAACUAAAAUACAUCCAUGCUGAAAAUGAAGUACUUUUAAACUUAAACAAAGGGAUUCCUUUUGACAUUGACAUACAUUUUAGCCCUCAUGAUAAGGACUUAUUUCCAUGGUUACUAAAUAUAAUUGAAAAAAAUCUAAUACAUUACAUGGUAUAUGUUUAUUCUGUUGCCCUAUCAGAAUAUUUACUUUUGAUACUAUUUCUGUACUGCUGAAGUAUUGUCUUAACAUUUAGCUUAGUGACUAAUGUGUAUAUUAGCAUAAACUUGUGCUUAACAUUUAUUCUAUAGGCCUCCAGACAAAAUUCUAACUUUGCUUAUAAGGUCAGAAGUAUAGAAUAUGUAAAUACAGAAAGUCAGAAGUUUCUUAAAACCUCAGAAAGAUUUUUAAAAUGCACUUCAAAUUUCUGAUAAAUGGUUCCAAAGUAAUCAGUAUAAAUAUUAGUAUUUGCUUAAAAUAAUAAUUUAAUAAUUCAUGUAACAAUGGAAAGGAGCCUA